GCCCGGUUAGCACAGCUGGUAGUGCGUCCGAUUUGUAAUCGGGAGGUCAUCCGUUCGAGCCGGAUACCGGGCA
rnacentral:tRNA from 1 species